CCACAAAGCCGUCCAAUCACGCACAUCCUGUAUAGGAUGCCAAAUAACCAUGGCUCCGCCCAGUUACUUAUAAUUAAAGGGGCUCGCCCAAAUCAGGUAGCCUUUGUGUGUCCGGGAGGGGUCACAUCCAUUAACUGUGGUUGAACGAGUGUUGACAUUGUAUCACCAGCGAGGAUUAAAGGCAUAUGGUGAAAACAAAAAAAAAAGUGCAUUUUUUUUAAAGUUUGUAUUUUUUUUUAAUCAAAGCUACGGACAUUCUGGACAUCGUUGAUUGGUCACUGGGACCCAUGUGAUCUAAACAUCUAGUUUGAAACAAAGUAACGGCUAAAAGACGCCGCAGCAAGAGAGGACGGAAUACCAACACAUAUUGCCGAAGGAUACAUUUAAGUUUGGAGUUGGAUGCCUCUGUACCACCGCCGGUGGGAUCCCCUGUUUUGAGAGGGAUGCCUUCCCCUCAGCAAGAUCACAGCGGGGAUACGUCUUUGCCUGCAGCAGACUCUCAAUC